UACGAACGGUCCAAACGUUAUUCGGAAUCACUGGGCUUAAAGCGUCCGUAGGCGGCUCAGAAAGCAAGGUGUGAAAUCCCACGGCCUAACCGUGGAACUGCGCUUUGAACUACUGAGCUCGAGGGAGAUAGAGGUGAGCGGAACUGAUGGUGGAGCGGUGAAAUGCGUUGAUAUCAUCAGGAACACCGGAGGCGAAGGCGGCUCACUGGGUCUUUUCUGACGCUGAGGGACGAAAGCUAGGGGAGCGAACGGG
rnacentral:rRNA from 1 species